AACGAACGCUGGCGGCGUGGAUAAGACAUGCAAGUCGAGCGGGACACUAUUUGUAGCAAUACAGGUAGUGUUCAGCGGCGCAAGGGUGCGUAACACGUGGGCAACCUGCGCGGAAAUGGGGGAUCGCUCGUCGAAAGGCGAAUUAAUACCGCAUGUGGCGAAGGGUGACAUCACCUUCUAGCUAAAGACGGGGCAACCUGACGGUCCGGGAUGGUACCGCGGCCGACCAGCUAGUUGGUGUGGUAACGGCGCACCAAGGCUAUGACGGGUAGCUGGUCUGAGAGGACGACCAGCCACACUGGAACUGAGACACGGUCCAGACACCUACGGGUGGCAGCAGUCGAGAAUUUUUCUCAAUGGGGGAAACCCUGAAGGAGCGACGCCGCGUGGAGGAUGAAGGUCUUCGGAUUGUAAACUCCUGUCAUUGGUGAACAAGGCCCACGCAGUAACUGGUGUUGGGAUUGAUAGUAGCCGAAGAGGAAGAGACGGCUAACUCUGUGCCAGCAGCCGCAGUAAUAC
rnacentral:rRNA from 1 species